rnacentral:rRNA from 1 species
UACGAAGGGGGCUAGCGUUGUUCGGAAUUACUGGGCGUAAAGGGCGCGUAGGCGGCUCUGAUCGUCGGAUGUGAAAGGCCUGGGCUCAACCUGGGAAUGGCAUCCGAUACGGCGGGGCUGGAGUGUGGGAGAGGUUGGUGGAAUUCCCAGUGUAGAGGUGAAAUUCGUAGAUAUUGGGAAGAACACCAGUGGCGAAGGCGGCUAUCUGGACGGUUUCUGACGCUAAGACGCGAAAGCGUGGGGAGCAAACAGG